UACAGAGACUGCAAGCGUUAUUCGGAUUCACCGGGCGUAAAGGGUGCGCAGGCGGCCAAGUGUGUUAGGCGUGAAAGCCUGAGGCUUAACCUCAGAAUUGCACCUAAAACUACAUGGCUAGAGCAUUGGAGAGGGUAGCGGAAUUCACGGUGUAGCAGUGAAAUGCGUAGAUAUCGUGAGGAACACCAGAGGCGAAGGCGGCUACCUGGACAAUUGCUGACGCUCAGGCACGAAAGCGUGGGGAGCAAAAGGG
rnacentral:rRNA from 1 species